rfam:Canis lupus familiaris chromosome 12, whole genome shotgun sequence.
AUAUUCUGGUUUCUCUUCAAAUCCUAUAAAUCUUUUGUCUUUUGCUAAAGGUUUCCAUAAAGAGGAACAGUUUAUAAGGUUUUUUAGGGUUUUUAAAAAUAUGUAUGAUGUAUAUAUAC